rnacentral:rRNA from 1 species
AUUGAACGCUGGCGGCAUGCCUUACACAUGCAAGUCGAGCGGCAGGCGCGGGGGGCAACCCUGGCGGCGAGCGGCGAACGGGUGAGUAAUGCAUCGGAACGUGGUCCUUUUGUGGGGGAGUAACCAGUCGAAAGACUGGCUAAUACCGCAUGAGCUCGAGAGAGGAAAGCGGGGGGAUCCCAAGGGAAACUGAGGGACCUCGCGCGAGAGGAGCGGCCGAUGCCCGAUUAGCUAGUUGGUGAGGUAAAAGCUCACCAAGGCGACGAUCGGUAGCUGGUUUGAGAGAACGACCAGCCACACUGGGACUGAGACACGGCCCAGACUCCUACGGGAGGCAGCAGUGGGGAAUUUUGGACAAUGGGCGCAAGCCUGAUCCAGCCAUGCCGCGUGUGUGAA